rnacentral:sRNA from 1 species
AGUCAGCCGCUCCAGGUGCCUAAGUCUGGGCUGCGGAGGCCAGGGCGGUGGCGUGCAGGGUGAGGUCUCCGGGGCUGGCGCGCGUGCAAGCCCCCUGCUGCUACCUCGCGCUAGGCCAGCUCCAGGAGGGCAACAGACGACAGGACAUUGCAAAAGGGCCACUUAAAUUUUCCUUCGAGUCAACAGAACACCUGCCAAGACCCUCGAGCCUGGGCGUGCCCCAAGACAGGUGGUUGGGGUCUAGGAGUCGGCUGCAGCUGGCGAUGCUCUGAGGGGACGUCAGGGCCUCAGGAUGGCCCCUAUGAAGACGAAGUGCAUCUGUGAACUGUGCUCCUGCGGGCGGCAUCACUGUCCACAUCUCCCUACCAAGAUUUAUGAUAAAACAGAGAAACCAUGUCUUCUCUCCGAAUAUACCGAGAACUACCCUUUCUAUCACUCCUACCUGCCCAGAGAGUCCUUCAAGCCAAGGCGGGAGUACCAGAAAGGGUCUAUACCAAUGGAAGGCCUGACUACAUCAAGCCCUCGGUAAUUCUCUGGUGUAGAAUCUGCCUUUACUUCAGAUAGACCUGAGAUC